AUGGCGCGUGCUCGUAUUCCCGAGCCUAAGAUGGACCUCUGCCUACCUCCCACGUUCGCGUAUCUUGAUCGAAGGGCUGGUAUGACUACAAAGAAGAUGCCAGGUCCAGUUGUGGCAGCAGAGUGGACCUGCACGAACCGAGGGGGACAUAAGAACAACGACUCUGUGCUUAACAAUCCUACAAACAACUUUCUUCUCAUGCUGCCUCCUCUCUUCUGCAAGGAGUGUCACCGUGUGAACCCUGCAGGGUAUUGUUGGGAUAUCCCGCACAUCAGCAUAAGGGAUGUGUUACUUGAUUUUCUCGUCCGGAAUCAAGGAGAUUACAAUACGAGCGUGGCGCAUGCAUUCUUGACUGCUGUGGAUGCCAUGCGCACGAUCCAUGAAGCAUUUACAUUUAGAGCAGAGCCUGGCACGGAACUCGAUGAUGGGCAUCUCUUCACCACGUACAUGCGUAUCUUCAAGACAGCAUUUGGCUACGAGACCGGUCCAUGUGCGCACCUGCGAUUUAAGAGGCCGGAAUGUAUCGCUUACAUCUUACAGAAUCACGGUGUGGGUUUUGAUUGCUCGAGCAUGCAGGACGGUUAUCGACAGAGGGCCACACCAGAUUUCACCCAGAAGAUAGGCAAAGUCUUUCGCAUAGCUAAUCGCGGCGGCGUUGGGCGCAUCGAGCAAAUCAUUAGGCUGAUAGCUGGAGGAUUCCCUCUGUUUUGUCAUUAUGCUGCUGGGAGAGCAUUCGACUUUGUGGAUGGAAACGAGGUAUAUCAUGCUCCUGCCAAGGCUGGCAUAAAUCACGCUGCAGUCUUGAUCGGAUCAGGCGUACAUGAGUAUCCAGGUGAAGGAUCCAAGAUUUACCUCCGCGCACGGGGUUCCAGGGAUGACGCCGCUAAUCCUCAAUCUGCUCUCCAAGGGAAAGGUGGAGACUUCAACAUUUGGGCGGAAGACGUCACUGAUGUGCUGGGGUUCCAUCUAGCCUGA
rnacentral:rRNA from 1 species